rnacentral:rRNA from 1 species
AGUGAACGCUGGCGGCGUGCUUAACACAUGCAAGUCGAACGAGAACGGAAUAUAGCUUGCUAUAUUUGUCAGCUAAGUGGCGCACGGGUGAGUAAUGUAUAGAUAACCUGCCCUUAAGAAAGGAAUAACAGUUGGAAACGACUGCUAAUGCCCUAUAUGCCUUUAAUACAUAAGUAUGCAAGGGAAACGCUUUAGUGCUUAAGGAUGGGUCUGUAUGGUAUCAGCUUGUUGGUGAGGUAAUGGCUCACCAAGGCUAUGACGCCUAACUGGUUUGAGAGGAUGAUCAGUCACACUGGAACUGAGACACGGUCCAGACUCCUACGGGAGGCAGCAGUGGGGAAUAUUGCACAAUGGACGAAAGUCUGAUGCAGCAACGCCGCGUGGAGGAUGACACAUUUCGGUGCGUAAACUCCUUUUAUAUAGGAAGAUAAUGACGGUACUAUAUGAAUAAGCACCGGCUAACUCCGUGCCAGCCGCCGCCGUAAGAC